UCCCACACACGCUCUCUCUUACUCUCUGUCUCUUUCUCUCUACACGCUCUCUUCGGCUCUCCAUUUAAUCAACGGCACCGACGAAAUCAAAUUCAACGGUACCGACAAUAUCAACGACUGUUCUUCAUCAGAUAGGCCCCCCCUCUCUCUCUCUCUCUCUCUCUCUCUCCCUGUCUAAUCUUCUAUGACGACUUAGGGUUUUGUUUUUAGUGUGAAAAAUCAGUGGCACUACUAUUUUAGUGUUAAAAACUUAGUUUAAAAAAUAAUUGACUGGGUUUGUUCUCUCAUGGUCAAACAGCCGAUUGUUAUUUACUGGGUUUGUAAUAUUUUGAAUGCUCUGUGAUUGUUCUUAAAAUUUAAGUAGAUCUUAGAAAGAAUAUUAUGAUGGAAUAAUUAAAUGAUAAUGAGGUUUGCACUUUACAUUUGGUGCGAAAAUUAAGAGUGCCUAACAAAAUAUCAAAAACAGACCCAUUUGAUUUAUUCAUAGUGCGUUGAUUUCUGAAAAUUUGGUGUUCCUUUCUGUAUAUCAUUCAGCAUCACAUGGUAUUUUAUACUAUAAUUUAUAAGUUUAGUGUAAAUUGAGUAGUUUUAUCCAUUAAUACAUUUUUUGAGGAAUUGAGAAAUUAUUUAUUAUUUUUGAGAUUGUCCCCUAAAUUUUUGACCAAUCGGGUAUGUUUACUGGGGCUGAUUGCUGAGCUAUUUUAGGUUCGCGAAUGGAAUUCUUGUUUGAUUUUGGGAUCAUUUUGACUGCAGUGGGCAGCCUCCUUGGAAUGAAAUUAGAAGUUGACUGUAUAGGAAUUUGUCUCCAACAAGAGAAAGUUGCAGGCUGCAAGGUAGAGGAGAGAUAACAUUUCGUUAUGUGUUCUUCGCAAAAGACUUGUGUUAGAGAGAUUGUCAAGAGAAUCGGCUCAGGUUCCGAUAGACAGGUCGAGCGUCCUCCAAGUAGGCUAUCAACUCAGCGGAAGAUAUUGGUACACUCCAUUUGCUCCGGAGUUGGUUGUUUGGUUAGUAUCAUUUAGACAAGUAUUGAUUAGUAUGUCGGGGCCCUGUCUCGGCCUUAUGACAUUUAUGUACUCUUAGAGGCUUGUAGACAUAUGUCAUGUAUAUGAAAGAUUGUAUGGCCUUGUCGGCCUAUGUUCAAUAUACGAAUGAUUAUUUUGGCCAUAUAGGCCCGUACGCCAUACGUAUAAGUUUGGAUUA